UACGGAGGAUCCGAGCGUUAUCCGGAUUUAUUGGGCUUAAAGGGUGCGUAGGCGGCCUUGUAAGUCAGGGGUGAAAGCCGGUAGCUCAACUAUCGCAGUGCCUUUGAUACUGCAGGGCUUGAAUGUACUUGAGGUAGGCGGAAUGUGACAAGUAGCGGUGAAAUGCAUAGAUAUGUCACAGAACACCAAUUGCGAAGGCAGCUUACUAAAGUAUGAUUGACGCUGAGGCACGAAAGCGUGGGGAUCAAACAGG
rnacentral:rRNA from 1 species